CAGCAGCCGCGGUAAUACGAAGGGUGCAAGCGUUAAUCGGAAUUACUGGGCGUAAAGCGUGCGUAGGCGGUUUGUUAAGUCUGCUUUGAAAUCCCCGGGCUCAACCUGGGAAUGGCAGUGGAUACUGGCAAGCUAGAGUGUGUCAGAGGAUGGUGGAAUUCCCGGUGUAGCGGUGAAAUGCGUAGAGAUCGGGAGGAACAUCAGUGGCGAAGGCGGCCAUCUGGGACAACACUGACGCUGAGGCACGAAAGCGUGGGGAGCAAACAGGAUUAGAUACCCGUGUAGUCCCUGUCUCUUAUAC
rnacentral:rRNA from 1 species